rnacentral:rRNA from 1 species
AGAGUUUGAUCCUGGCUCAGGACGAACGCUAACGGUGUGCUUAAUACAUGCAAGUCGAACGGGCGAUGCAGAAGUGGCAACACUUUUGCAAAGCUAGUGGCGAACGGGUGAGUAACGCGUAGGCAAUUUGCCUUAGAGAUUGGAAUAACCUCUUGAAAGGGAGGCUAAUACCGAAUGCCCUGUUUUUUUCGCAUGAAAUUUAUAGGAAAGGGUGCCGCAAGGCUCCCGCUCUAAGAUAAGCCUGCGUCCUAUUAGCUUGUUGGUAGGGUAACUGCCUACCAAGGCGAUGAUGGGUAGCCGGUCUGAGAGGAUGAACGGCCACACUGGGACUGAGAUACGGCCCAGACUCCUACGGGAGGCAGCAGUAGGGAAUAUUGCGCAAUGGACGAAAGUCUGACGCAGCGACACCGUGUGAAGGAUGAAGGUCUUCGGAUCGUAAACUUCUGUCAAUUGGAGACGAAGGCAGUAGGGUUAAUAGCCUCAAUGCUGACGGUACCCAAUAAGGAAGUCUCGGCUAACUCCGUGCCA